rnacentral:rRNA from 1 species
UACGGAGGGGACUAGCGUUGUUCGGAAUUACUGGGCGUAAAGCGCACGUAGGCGGAUUUGUAAGUCAGGGGUGAAAUCCCGGGGCUCAACCCCGGAACUGCCUUUGAUACUGGGUAUCUAGAGUCCGGAAGAGGUGAGUGGAAUUCCGAGUGUAGAGGUGAAAUUCGUAGAUAUUCGGAGGAACACCAGCGGCGAAGGCGGCUCACUGGUCCGGUACUGACGCUGAGGUGCGAAAGCGUGGGGAGCAAACAGG